AUACCCGCUGAACUUAAGCAUAUCAAUAAGCGGAGGAAAAGAAACCAACAGGGAUUGCCUCAGUAACGGCGAGUGAAGCGGCAACAGCUCAAAUUUGAAAUCUGGCCUCGGCCCGAGUUGUAAUUUGUAGAGGAAGCUUUUGGUGCGGCACCGACCGAGUCCCCUGGAACGGGGCGCCAUAGAGGGUGAGAGCCCCGUAUGGUUGGACGCCUAUCCUCUGUAAAGCUCCUUCGACGAGUCGAGUAGUUUGGGAAUGCUGCUCAAAAUGGGAGGUAAAUUUCUUCUAAGGCUAAAUACCGGCCAGAGACCGAUAGCGCACAAGUAGAGUGAUCGAAAGAUGAAAAGCACUUUGAAAAGAGGGUUAAAUAGCACGUGAAAUUGUUGAAAGGGAAGCGCUUGUGACCAGACUUGCGCCCCGUCGAUCAUCCGGGGUUCUCCCCGGUGCGCUCGGCGGGGCUCAGGCCAGCAUCGGUUUUCGCGGGGGGACAAAGGUCCCGGGAACGUGGCUCCUCCGGGAGUGUUAUAGCCCGGGGCGCAAUGCCCUCGCGGGGACCGAGGACCGCGCUUCGGCAAGGAUGCUGGCGUAAUGGUCAUCAGCGACCCGUCUUGAAACACGGACCAAGGAGUCAAGGUUUUGCGCGAGUGUUUGGGUGUAAAACCCGCACGCGUAAUGAAAGUGAACGUAGGUGAGAGCUUCGGCGCAUCAUCGACCGAUCCUGAUGUAUUCGGAUGGAUUUGAGUAGGAGCGUUAAGCCUUGGACCCGAAAGAUGGUGAACUAUGCUUGGAUAGGGUGAAGCCAGAGGAAACUCUGGUGGAGGCUCGCAGCGGUUCUGACGUGCAAAUCGAUCGUCAAAUCUGAGCAUGGGGGCGAAAGACUAAUCGAACCAUCUAGUAGCUGGUUACCGCCGAAGUUUCCCUCAGGAUAGCAGUGUUGUUCUUCAGUUUUAUGAGGUAAAGCGAAUGAUUAGGGACUCGGGGGCGCUCUUUAGCCUUCAUCCAUUCUCAAACUUUAAAUAUGUAAGAAGCCCUUGUUGCUUAAUUGAACGUGGGCAUUCGAAUGUACCAACACUAGUGGGCCAUUUUUGGUAAGCA
rnacentral:rRNA from 2 species